rnacentral:rRNA from 1 species
GCAGGCUCGCGCUUGAAUACAUUAGCAUGGAAUAAUGAAAUAGGACGUUUGAUUCUAUUUUGUUGGUUUCUAGGAUCGACGUAAUGAUUAAUAGGGAUAGUUGGGGGCAUUAGUAUUCAAUUGUCAGAGGUGAAAUUCUUGGAUUUAUUGAAGACUAACUACUGCGAAAGCAUUUGCCAAGGAUGUUUUCAUUAAUCAAGAACGAAAGUUAGGGGAUCGAAGACGAUCAGAUACCGUCGUAGUCUUAACCAUAAACUAUGCCGACUAGGGAUCGGAUGAUGUUAAUUUUUUAAUGACUCAUUCGGCGCCUUACGGGAAACCAAAGUGUCUGGGUUCCGGGGGGAGUAUGGUCGCAAGGCUGAAACUUAAAGGAAUUGACGGAAGGGCACCACCAGGGGUGGAGCCUGCG